ACGAUCUGAACCGUUCAUCUUCCUGUAUCCUCUAAUACAUCAUGUUUCAAAAAAACAAAAUCUGAAAAAACAAAAUUUGGUGAGAAAAAUGAAGCAUAAAUGUAAACAACAAUCGACGGUUAAAUUUUGAUCUAUGAUUUAUAUGAUUAUAGUGGCACAUUUCAAAGUUAAGUCCUUCACAAAAGUUGUAAAACUUGUCAUUACGAGCGUUUAUAUAUUUUUUCUAUAUUUUUCACACUUCUACAUUAAUUAUAAAACUAUUAAAGACUUUACUUAAACAAUAGUCAUAGGAUAAAUGAGAAGAGAAUGCUAAUGUAGAAAGCCUCACUGAAAAUAUCAUCAAUAUAACUCUUGAAGACAAUAUAUCAAGCCAAAGUUCCAAUACCGUUUCUCAUGGUGAUUGAUGAAAAUUGAAGAGUUUGAUUGUAAGAAAAUGUGCAAGGUUCCAAACCUUGAAACAUAACUCCCUUAAUUUUGCAAAUCUUUUGAACAUUUGAUAUUUUGUAAUGUUCUAAUGUUUUUUUUUAUUAUUAUGCUCUUAUAUUUGGUAUGUAAAUAUGUAAUUCUUCAAAGACAAAUGCGUUUUUAUGUUUUGAAUAUGAUAAUAUGGUAUGUAUAUACUUAUUUAGUAUUAUGUUUUUCAUUUGAUUAUUUAUUGGUUUAAAAUAUAUUUUCCUUAACGGGUAAUGGGUCAGGUCAUA
rnacentral:lncRNA from 1 species